rnacentral:rRNA from 1 species
UUCACCUACCAUACGACACAGAAGGCACCGGUUUCCCUCCGAUCACCUAAGUUAAACUAUGUCGGUUUAGUACUUGCAUGGGUGAUUGGUCGGGAACACCCGAUGUUGCCGACU